GAUGAACGCUGGCGGCGUGCCUAAUACAUGCAAGUCGAGCGAACGGACGAGGAGCUUGCUUCUCUCAUGUUAGCGGAGGACGGGUGUGUAACACGUGGAUAAUCUACCUAUAAGACUGGGAUAACUUCGAGAAACGGGAUCUUAUACCGGAUGAUCUUUUGAACCGCAUGGUUCAAAAGUGAAAGACGGUCUUUGUGGCACUUCUAGCUGGAUAUGCGCUGCUUUAGCUAGUUGGUAAGGUAACGGGCUACCAAGGGAACGAUGCAUGAACGACCGCAGAGGGGGGUAGCCCACAUUGGAACUGGGACACGGUCCAGACGCCUACGAGAGGCAGCAGUAUGCAAUCUUCCGCAGUGGGCGAAAGUCUGACGGAGCGACGCCACGUGAGUGACGAAGACCUUCGGAUCGUAAUACUCUGUUAUGAGUUAAGAACAGAUGUGGAAUUUACCGAGCACUUCUUGACGGUACCGAAUCAGAAAGCCACGGCUAACUACGUG
rnacentral:rRNA from 1 species